rnacentral:tRNA from 1 species
GGUGGCGUGUCUGAGCGGCCUAAAGAGCUCGCCUCGAAAGCGAGUGAGGGUUCACCCCCUCCGCGGGUUCAAAUCCCGCCGCCACCGCCA